rnacentral:rRNA from 1 species
CCUACGGGUGGCAGCAGUAGGGAAUAUUGCUCAAUGGGGGAAACCCUGAAGCAGCAACGCCGCGUGGAGGAUGAAGGUUUUCGGAUUGUAAACUCCUUUUGUUAGAGAAGAUAAUGACGGUAUCUAACGAAUAAGCACCGGCUAACUCCGUGCCAGCAGCCGCGGUACUACGGAGGGUGCAAGCGUUACUCGGAAUCACUGGGCGUAAAGAGCGCGUAGGCGGGAUAGCAAGUCAGAUGUGAAAUCCUAUGGCUUAACCAUAGAACUGCAUUUGAAACUGUUAGUCUAGAGUAGGGGAGAGGUAGGCGGAAUUCUUGGGGUAGGGGUAAAAUCCGUAGAGAUCAAGAGGAAUACUCAUUGCGAAGGCGACCUGCUAGAACAUAACUGACGCUGAUGCGCGAAAGCGUGGGGAGCGAACAGGAUUAGAUACCCGGGUAGUC